rnacentral:rRNA from 1 species
AGCGGAGGGAUCAUUACCGAGUUUACAACUCCCAAACCCAAUGUGAACGUUACCAAUCUGUUGCCUCGGCGGGAUUCUCUGCCCCGGGCGCGUCGCAGCCCCGGAUCCCAUGGCGCCCGCCGGAGGACCAACUCAAACUCUUUUUUCUCUCCGUCGCGGCCUACGUCGCGGCUCUGUUUUAUUUUUGCUCUGAGCCUUUCUCGGCGACCCUAGCGGGCGUCUCGAAAAUGAAUCAAAACUUUCAACAACGGAUCUCUUGGUUCUGGCAUCGAUGAAGAACGCAGCGAAAUGCGAUAAGUAAUGUGAAUUGCAGAAUUCAGUGAAUCAUCGAAUCUUUGAACGCACAUUGCGCCCGCCAGUAUUCUGGCGGGCAUGCCUGUCCGAGCGUCAUUUCAACCCUCGAACCCCUCCGGGGGGUCGGCGUUGGGGAUCGGCCCCUCACCGGGCCGCCCCCGAAAUACAGUGGCGGUCUCGCCGCAGCCUCUCCUGCGCAGUAGUUUGCACACUCGCACCGGGAGCGCGGCGCGGCCACAGCCGUAAAACACCCCAAACUCUGAAAUGUUGACCUCGGAUCAGGUAGGAAUACCCGCUGAACUUAAGCAUAUC